GUAACAACCGAUUAUUUCUUAAUGAAUUGAAUUACGCGUCUGUCCAAUACUUUCGAUCUUCAUUCAUAUACUAUCACUGUCAAUAAGGUAUAACUAUGUCGUUUGUACAACAAUUAAUGAUGAAUCAUUACUUGGUCCGGUUACAUAUUAGCGACGACUGAAGUGAAGUACGCAUAUAAUUGUAUCAAUGAAGACACAGAAUUUCUUU